rnacentral:rRNA from 1 species
GAUGAACGCUAGCGGCAGGCCUAACACAUGCAAGUCGAGGGGUAGAACACUUCGGUGUUUGAGACCGGCGCACGGGUGCGUAACGCGUAUGCAAUCUACCUUGUACAGGGGAAUAGCCCAGAGAAAUUUGGAUUAAUGCCCCCAUAGUAUAUAACCUUCGCAUGUUGGUUACUAUUAAAGUUCCAACGGUACAAGAUGAGCAUGCGUCCCAUUAGUUAGUUGGUAAGGUAACGGCUUACCAAGACGAUGAUGGGUAGGGGUCCUGAGAGGGAGAUCCCCCACACUGGUACUGAGACACGGACCAGACUCCUACGGGAGGCAGCAGUGAGGAAUAUUGGUCAAUGGUCGCAAGACUGAACCAGCCGUGCCGCGUGCAGGAAGACGGUCCUAUGGAUUGUAAACUGCUUUUAUACAGGAAGAAACCCUCCCACGUGUGGGAGCUUGACGGUACUGUAGGAAUAAGGAUCGGCUAACUCCGUG